GGGUAAGUUAAAACAAAAUAUAAAUAAAAUAAAACUAAAAAUAAACAGUACUGCCAGUGCAACCAUAUAGAUUACAUUUUUACAAUGAAAAACGUCUUCAAAGCAUAAACAAACGGGAAUCGUCUAGCUACGGAUGUUAUUUACUGCUGUUAAGGAGAUAUUUCCAAGCAGGAGGAAGUUCUUGUGCUGGGUGGUCGUUAAGGAGAGAUUCUUGACUCUGCCUUGCGUAAAUCUCGAUGGCUUCCGCUGUAGCGGCAUGUUUUUCUUUCGGAAGUGUUUUUAUUAUCCGCACUUCCUGCCAUCUUACUUCUACGUACUAUCUUACGUAGAAGAUGGACUUCUACGUAAGAUGGUCUCCUGCGAUCUUACAUAGAAGUUGUUGAAUUGUUGAGAACAGAACUCCUGUUUUUGACAUUAUGUCUAUGGAAGUUGAUUUUAAGAAUCAAUUUAUCAUAAUUUCUUAAUUCUUAAUAAUUCUUAUUUAGAAUUAAUUUUUAAUUCUAAAUGCAAGUUUUUAAUUUAUGAGCAUACUUCAGAAUGAAUUAAUUUUUAAAGUUGAGAACUAUCUGUAUUUUGAGCCAGAAUCAUUUUUUAAUUAUAAUUAAAGUUGUAAUCAAUAAUAUAUUUAUCAAAUAUUAAUGCAUAUAAGUAUCAUAAAAACUUUUUUGAUUUGGUGAUAUAUACAGUAUAUAACCAGAGAAUCGUUGACCAGAGUCACAAUUAAAAAGAUAGCGGAUAAAUACUGAUACUCAGGUUAUUUAACCUGUUUUAAAGGAAAAAUAGUUGUAG
rnacentral:lncRNA from 1 species